GUAGGUGGCAAGCGUUGUCCGGGAAUUAUUGGGGCGUAAAGCGCGCGCAGGCGGUUCUUUAAGUCUGAUGUGAAAGCCCACGGGCUCAACCGUGGAGGGUCAUUGGAAACUGGAGAACUUGAGUACAGAAGAGGAAAGCGGAAUUCCACGUGUAGCGGUGAAAUGCGUAGAGAUGUGGAGGAACACCAGUGGCGAAGGCGGCUUUCUGGUCUGUAACUGACGCUGAGGCGCGAAAGCGUGGGGAGCAAACAGGAUUAGAUACCCUGGUAGUCCACGCCGUAAACGAUGAGUGCUAAGUGUUAGGGGGUUUCCGCCCCUUAGUGCUGCAGCUAACGCACUAAGCACUCCGCCUGGGGAGUACGGCCGCAAAGGCUG
rnacentral:rRNA from 1 species